CAGUCGCCGCGGUAAUACGGAGGGUGCAAGCGUUAUCCGGAUUUAUUGGGUUUAAAGGGUCCGUAGGCGGAUCUGUAAGUCAGUGGUGAAAUCUCACAGCUUAACUGUGAAACUGCCAUUGAUACUGCAGGUCUUGAGUAAAUUUGAAGUGGCUGGAAUAAGUAGUGUAGCGGUGAAAUGAAUAGAUAUUACUUAGAACACCAAUUGCGAAGGCAGGUCACUAAGAUUUAACUGACGCUGAUGGACGAAAGCGUGGGGAGCGAACAGGAUUAGAUACCCGCGUAGUCCCUGUCUCUUAUAC
rnacentral:rRNA from 1 species